AACGAACGCUGGCGGCAUGCCUAACACAUGCAAGUCGAACGAGACCUUCGGGUCUAUUGGCGCACGGGUUCGUAACGCGUGGGAACCUGCCCUUAGGUUCGGAAUAACUCCCCGAAAGGGGUGCUAAUACCGGAUAAUGUCUUCGGACCAAAGAUUUAUCGCCUUUGGAUGGGCCCGCGUUGGAUUAGCUAGUUGGUAGGGUAAAAGCCUACCAAGGCGACGAUCCAUAGCUGGUAUGAGAGGAUGAUCAGCCACACUGGGACUGAGACACGGCCGAGACUCCUACGGGAGGCAGCAGUGGGGAAUAUUGGACAAUGGGCGAAAGGAUGAUCCAGCAAUGCCGCGUGAGUGAUGAAGGCAGUAGGGUUGUAAAGCUCUUUUACCCGGGAUGAUAAUGACAGUACCGGGAGAAUAAGCUCCGGCUAACUCCGUG
rnacentral:rRNA from 1 species